AUUUUACUCCUUUUAAAAAUGUCGGUAGUGAAAAGAAAAGGUAAAAUUUACUUAGAUAACGCUAAGGGCUAAACUGAAUAGAGCUAAGAUAAAAACGAUCACACUUGUUUAUUCAAGAUCUGCCACAGGUGUCAGAGUUUUCAGGGAAUCACACAAUUUCGGAGAACAUGCAAGUCACUGUGGCAUUUAAACUGCUCAUUGUGGUCAGCAGUCUUCAAGGCCUGUUAGGGCUUCCAAUUGACAGGGAACUUAUCCGCGU